rnacentral:misc_RNA from 1 species
GAUGAAGAACGUAGCGAAAUGCGAUAAGUAAUGUGAAUUGCAGAAUUCAGUGAAUCAUCGAAUCUUUGAACGCUCAUUGCGCCCGCCAGUAUUCUGGCGGGCAUGCCUGUCUGAGCGUCAUUUCAACCCUCAAGCAACUUCUGCUUGGUGUUGGGGAUCGGCCGUCAAACGCCGCCCCCGAAAUCUAUUGGCGAUCUCGCUGUAACUUCCUAUGCGUAGUAGUAACAUCUCGCAUCUGGAGAGCGGCGCGGUCAUGCCGUAAAACACCCAACUUCUCAGGUUGACCUCAGAUCAGGUAGGAAUACCCGCUGAACUUAAGCAUAUCAAUAAGCGGAGGA